rnacentral:lncRNA from 14 species
AACAGUUUACCAGUGGGCUCAGAAAAACAAGACCUUGAUCUGCAUUUCUGAGUUUCCUAAAAUUUUUCUUUUUUCUUUUCCUUUUUUUUUUUUUUAGUCAGGUUAUUUUCCUUGCAGUCUUCAGAGCAGUUGCUCAUAGCUGUGAAAUGUCCCUGUUUCUUCAAGAUGUGCUGCUGGAGGACUUGCCUCUGCCUUAUCCCAGGGAGGACCAAUAGCCCCGUUAUCCACAUGUGCAUACCUCUUCCUCUGCUGGAGCAUCUCUGACCUGAGCAGCUGCCAGGGAGGUGUGGAGGCUGCUCACCACUUGCAGCUCCUCUCCCUGCUUUGCUCCCCAUCCUGUAGCUUCUCUGUUGAUGUUGGUAGCACUUGCCAUGGGGAUGGGGAAUCUGCUCGUUGCAUUUUCUCUUUUUCUCAUUGCCUAUAUUCAUCUACAGCUUCACCUCACAUCGGCAUCAUCCAAUAAAUACUUCUAACAGUGUGCAUCUAUCAGGAGCUGGCAGCACACUUUGCUUUGUUCUGCUCAGCCCUGUGAAGCUAACAUGCCCAAGCUGCAACAGUGGUGACAGCCAUCCCUCAAGGAAAUGAUGGGAAAGUUUAUGGUGUUUCUUGGAGCUUGGAACAUUUUUGCAGCAUCAAAAAGCAGUAUCCUGGCUCAGAGUAGGAGAAAUAUCCAUUUUCCCUGAUGGAGACUCCAUUUUUCCUGCUUCGCAACUAUUCAUUCUCCCUGCUGGAUGGUGUCUUCAGUGUGGACAGUUUAGCACUGGGAUUUGAACUUGUACCUCCUGCCAACCCCAGGCACAUUGACCAUCAGGCUACAGGUCUGAUUCAGACUUACAGUUUUGAUAUCUCAAACAAACGUCAGCACCUUUACCAACAAACACACUGACAAGUGGAUUAGAGAAGCAAGUGGGCUGGAGAAAUCUGCUUCCAGUCUUUUGAUGUACGUCAAGGACCUACACAGAGGUAGAAGAACUGCUGCAAGAUGGGAUGAAGACCUCAGGAUAUUUCUUUGGUGCGCAUAACUUGAGUCAUAUUGGACUGGAAAUGGGACAGUCUAGCCUUGAACAAAAGGGAGUUUGCCCAUCUGUUGGGACAGCAGUUCUGCAGUCUUUGCAAUAAGUGCAAUAGCAUAGAAAUUAGAAGUGUUGUGUGGCUCUGGAAUUUUCUUGGAAUCAAAAUAUGAUCAAUUUAUGUUUUGGGAGGUUGGGGUGAAAAUGUGGGAAGGAGGGCUUGCUUUGGUGUGACUUGUCUCCUAAACUACAGUGCACUUGCAAAGUGUGGUCCCUGAUGCAGGAGGCUGAGGGUGAGAAGUGCUGCAUGAAGACUAGAAAGAGGUUUUUCAUUACUCUGAUGGC